rnacentral:lncRNA from 1 species
AAAAAAAAAUUGUAUAACUUCGUUUUCGGUUUAAUAAUCAAAAUUUGCAAUUAUAUUUCAUAAAAAAUAUAAUAGAAUAUAUAUUAUGUAUAUAUUUAUAAUGGUGUGCUACGUAACUCCAUAUAAGAGGGUAUGCUAUGGAGUGCUACCCUAACUAUAUAUAUAAGAUACAGGAAACAAGUUCUCGUAGGCUUUGGAAUACCAACAAUGACUCUACUCUUGUACCUGACAC